GGUAGGAUGGCUGAAUGUUUUAAGCGGUGGAUUGUAGUCCCAUAGACAGAGGUUUAAUCCCUCUUCUUACCA
rnacentral:tRNA from 1 species